UCCUUGCUCGUGGGGUUCCAGGAACCUGAGUCUAGGCUUUACUGAACAAGAGGUUCAGUAAAAGCCCCGAAGGCAACACUCACUUUAUACAGCAGACAAGCCAAGGUCCAGUGACUCCUGGCCAGUAGAUGGAACUCACUGACAACUUGCCAAACAUCCCUGGAUUUUAUUGGCAUACAUAUCUCAGGAAAGUCAGCAUAUCUCCUGCUUUUGAAGAGAAUGGCCUUAUGAAGAAGAGGUCCUGCAGUGCCCUGAAGUGCAAUAUGCCCUGUUGCUCAUAACCUGGUGUUUCAAUGGUUCUAUUAUGUGUGUUUUGUGCACCCUACUGUUGUGGCUGAGCCACAUCUGUAUUUAGUCCAGUCAUCUCUAAUGGAUCUCUUUGGUUGGUGUGGGCAGGGUUUGGUUCCUGUAUCAUUAAUGAGCCAAUCUGGGGACUCCUUGGGCUUGAAUUGGAUCAGACCAGUCAUUUGCCCUUACUGCGGUUGCAUCAAACUUCAGGGUGCCCUCCCUGUUUUGUGCCCUGAGAAGCUUUUGUAGGUGGGUGGGUCCUGCAGCCAGAUCAGACUAAAUGUCUGACCCCAGCUUACUGCUGGGACCACAGUUGAACCAGUUCUUGUGGUUAUACUUUCCUCUCCUCAGGGUAUGAGUCAUUUUGGAGUGUUGCUGCCUGAAACUUCCAGGCUUGUGGUGCUACUUUAGAUGGACUCCUGCUGAGGGCCUGUUGGAUGAGGUGGUCCACAGGAAGACGACUAUGGUAGAGUACGUGGUAUUAGUAAGGCUUGCACUCGUCUGCUCUGAGAGGAGACCUGUAGCCACUUCAAAGAAUUGCCCCAUUUGGGUUGCAGGAGGUGGGUCCACAGGAAAGUGCAGGGCUGAGAUAUGCUGCUGUGUUAACAAGCUAUGUGGAGAGAGUUCCUGCUGGCCUGGUUACAGCAAGUGUCCAUGGAUCUAGGCUGUGGGUUGAGGCUAGGGAAAUGGCAUUCACCAGCUUUUUUGUUUUUGGAGAACUCUCUUGAAGAUCCCUGCCCCUCCACCACAUGUUCUGAAUUUAGUAAAUAAGUCUUCCUGUAUAACCCAGGCAUUUUUCAACCUGCUCUUUCUUAGCUAUAUCUUAGCAUGGCUGUUUUUUGUCUCUUUAAGGGCAGGGAUUAAGUUUCCUAUCACCCUCAAACUCUCCCAGAGCCAACCCUGAUGUUUUUUAAAGUUCAUGUGUUAAGUUUCACUAGUUAUAAGAACUCAUUAUGUUAAGUCCCUGUGGUUUUCACAGCCAACUGUUAUAGAGAUUCAUCUUCCCAGUUUCGUCUCCCAUGCUUAGAAUGUGUAGCAUAGCCUUCUCCAUGCCUUUGGGGUCCAUCCCUCCCAUGAACAGUCUCCCAAGAAGAUCAUGUCUUCACCUUUUUUACCCUUUUUCAUGUGGCGCCUUCUCCACAUUUAGCUAUGGAGAUCUGUUCUGCCAGGCUUUAAGUCAUUUUCUGGGUUAUUUAACUAAUGUGGGUGAUAUUUAGGAGUAUCUGUGGGAUGAGGUGAGCUAUGAUUCUCUUACUCCACCUUCUUCCUUGGAAGUUGUUAAUUCAGUUUUUGAUAUGGUCAAACUUAUACAAAUCUGUCUGAGGAUAAAAUGUAUAUAAGUAGUAAGAGGCACCAAAGUUAGUAUUAACCUAUUAAAGAACGGGUUGAAAAUAAAUAAUAAAAAUUAAUAUAUUCUCUACACAAUAGAUUCUUAGAUAUAUAUUAACAUAGUUAAUUAACAUGUUGUUUAAAAAGAUAAGGCAGACCAAAACAUAUUAGGAAAAGUAUAUGCUUCUCUACCUUUGAGGGUAGAUAUAGUAAUUUCUUAAUUUUACACACUAGGAAAGGAGUAUAAAAAAACAUAAAUACUAUGCAGAUUUGUCCUUUAUAUUUAAACAAUGAGCCUCCUUUCUUAUUUGACUUUUUUGGUACAUGUUUUAUAUUUAACCAUAAAUAAAGAAUGAAAGUGACCUUA